AACGCUAGCUACAGGCUUAACACAUGCAAGUCGAGGGGAAACGAUAUUGGAAGCUUGCUUCCGAUAGGCGUCGACCGGCGCACGGGUGAGUAACGCGUAUCCAACCUGCCCACCACUUGGGGAUAACCUUGCGAAAGUAAGACUAAUACCCAAUGACGUCUCUAGAAGACAUCUGAAAGAGAUUAAAGAUUUAUCGGUGAUGGAUGGGGAUGCGUCUGAUUAGCUUGUUGGCGGGGUAACGGCCCACCAAGGCGACGAUCAGUAGGGGUUCUGAGAGGAAGGUCCCCCACAUUGGAACUGAGACACGGUCCAAACUCCUACGGGAGGCAGCAGUGAGGAAUAUUGGUCAAUGGACGAGAGUCUGAACCAGCCAAGUAGCGUGCAGGAAGACGGCCCUAUGGGUUGUAAACUGCUUUUAUAAGGGAAUAAAGUGAGUCUCGUGAGACUUUUUGCAUGUACCUUAUGAAUAAGGACCGGCUAAUUCCGUGCCAGCAGCCGCGGUAAUACGGAAGGUCCGGGCGUUAUCCGGAUUUAUUGGGUUUAAAGGGAGCGUAGGCCGGAGAUUAAGCGUGUUGUGAAAUGUAGACGCUCAACGCCUGCACUGCAGCGCGAACUGGUUUCCUUGAGUACGCACAAAGUGGGCGGAAUUCGUGGUGUAGCGGUGAAAUGCUUAGAUAUCACGAAGAACUCCGAUUG
rnacentral:rRNA from 1 species